UAGGGAAUCUUCGGCAAUGGACGGAAGUCUGACCGAGCAACGCCGCGUGAGUGAAGAAGGUUUUCGGAUCGUAAAGCUCUGUUGUAAGAGAAGAACGAGUGUGAGAGUGGAAAGUUCACACUGUGACGGUAUCUUACCAGAAAGGGACGGCUAACUACGUGCCAGCAGCCGCGGUAAUACGUAGGUCCCGAGCGUUGUCCGGAUUUAUUGGGCGUAAAGCGAGCGCAGGCGGUUAGAUAAGUCUGAAGUUAAAGGCUGUGGCUUAACCAUAGUACGCUUUGGAAACUGUUUAACUUGAGUGCAAGAGGGGAGAGUGGAAUUCCAUGUGUAGCGGUGAAAUGCGUAGAUAUAUGGAGGAACACCGGUGGUGAAAGCGGCUCUCUGGCUUGUAACUGACGCUGAGGCUCGAAAGCGUGGGGAGCAAACAGGAUUAGAUACCCUGGUAGUCCACGCCGUAAACGAUGAGUGCUAGGUGUUAGACCCUUUCCGGGGUUUAGUGCCGCAGCUAACGCAUUAAGCACUCCGCCUGGGGAGUACGACCGCAAGGUUG
rnacentral:rRNA from 1 species